GGGCUUUGAGCAGAGAGUGGAUGCUUGGAUGCGGUGAGGUUCAGCACCAUGUGAAAAAGACCUCACUACGCGGAGUUUUCAGAAAGAAAAAAAAAAAAAAAAGAGUAUGUGAUCCGGGGCAGCGUGCAUUUUCUCUCCCUGGAAAUUCCUGUUCCUCUGAGGAGGAGGCUAUGACGUGGGCUUCAGGGAAUGGCAGCUCCAGCCCUGAGUGGAGAAUGAGAUAACCAUUUCCCUUUACACCUAUUGGCCUGUGAUGGCACCGUCCACGGUGUCCUUUAGAACCAAGCUGCCCUCAAGGACCAAGUCGACCCAGGACAGGGCUCUGGAGGCACUCCAAUGGCUGAAGAGGAUCAGGGACAGAGGAGGCCACCGACCUCUCUCCCUAUGAGGGACCCGUGCUUUUGGUCUUAGCCUUAUUUCUCUGGGUGCGGAGUGGGUGGUGGGGGCGGUAGCGCGGUGGUGGUGACCACAAGGGCCUAUGAGUGGUUUCUAUAGAGACGAUGAGCUGAGUUGGCGCACGGCUGGGCCGUCCUGAUUGCUGGCUCUCCUGGUGGGGUCUUGAGAGAGGAGAGGAUAUGUUACAGGUCAUUUCCACAUUCUCACCUUGCAGACCGUGGGAGAAGUUUGCUGGAAAGAGCAGCGUGGCGGAAGGGCGGGGCUGCCCUUCCAGCAGCCUUGUGAGUUGGAAGUAUGGAUGGAGAAGGGCAAGGACUCCCCAGAUUGUGACCUUUUCAUGAUUCAUCAUUCUUCAGUGCAGGAACAUGUGUGUGUGUGUGUGUGUGUGUGUGUGUGUGUGUGUGAGAGAGAGAGAGAGAGACAAACACAUGGACAGACAGACGGACAGAAGGAGAGAUGCUCCCAUUUUGUUUUCUCUGUUCCCUUUGUUUCCCUGUCUGAGCUCCACACCAAAUAACUCAUUUUAUCUUAUUUUAUUUUUAUUUCCCCAAUACAUUCUUUUUUUUCCCUAAUGUUCAGCAUGGCAACCCAGUUACACAUACAUGUAUACAUUGUUUUUUCUCACAUUAUCAUGCUCCAUCAUAAGUGACCAGACAUAGCUCUCAGUGCUGCACAGCAGGAUCUCAUUGCUCAUCCAUUCCAAAGGCAAUAGUCUGCGUCUAUUAACCCCAAGCUCCCAAUCCACCCCACUCCCUCCCCUUCCCCCUUGGCAACCACAGAAUCUUUCCAGACUUUUACCUAUGCUUAUCAAAAUUAUAUAGUUAAACACACACACCAACACAUAUGUGUUAAGAUUUUUUUAAGUAAUUGUUUUCUAAAAAUAGGAUAUUAAUCACAGUCACUGCACACUGCUUUUCUUAUUCAUCAGUACUUUAUAGAAAAUCCCUCCAAGCCAGCUGGUAUACCACUUACUUCAUUUUUUUAUUCUUUAGAGCGGAUGGUCUUUAUUUUAUUAAACCAUUCUUAUGUUGACGGGCAUUCACUUUGUCUCCAGUUUUUAAAUUUACAAUAACUACCUCCAUAAACAUCCAUAGACUGCUUCCAUAAACUUGCUCGUGUAUGUCUGUAUAUCCUUAUGGACUACUGCUUUUAUUUCCCAGAGGUAGAUUCCCAGGAGUAAGAGUGCUGAGCUGAAGGAUGGAGUGUUUUUAUUUUUGAUAGAUAUUUCCAGACUGUGUUCCAAAAGGACUACUGCAGUUCUCAUUUCCAUUAGGGGUUGGUGGGGGUACCUGAUCCCCCAUCCCCACAGCAUUAAUUGUUACUUCCUUGUUAACGUCAGCCCUCUGAUGGCUAGACAGUAAUAUCUGUUACCCUGAUUUUCAUUUCUCUGACUCCUGUUGAGUCUGAGCAUCCUUACACACGUGUAUCUGCUCUUUGCAUUGCGCUGCCAUGAAUUGCCUCCUAGGAUCCCAGGGGAAGGGACCAACAAGACUCCGGGUGAAGCGGCAAGCAAGGGUGUAUUUCCACAAGAGCUUUCACUGGGUCCUGGGUAACUGAUGGCUCUCUCUCCCCCACUCAUCCCCUUCCUUUCCCCUCCUCAUCUCUCCCCCAACCCCAUCUCUCUCCCCUCCCCUCCCCCUUCCUUCUCUGCAUCUCUCCCCCCCUUCUCCUCCCCAUCCUCUCCCACUGGCAUAGGUUUUAAAGUCCACAGACAUGAGAAAUUCAAUCACAUUCUCCCAAAGGUCCCGGGGCAGGGCAAGGGUAAGCAGAAAAUGAAGCUGUAAGCAGGUGAGAGCUGGCAGGCUGGUGGGUGGUUAGUUGCCCUUGUCCCUUGUGUGGCCCUGGGCUGGUUCCUUCGCUUCAGCCUGUCUCUCUUGACCCUGGCUGCAGGCUUCGCUUUUCCAGCUGUCACAUUGAACUUCCCACAUCAGACCUCGUCACCCUUUAGGUAACUGAGCCCCAGUCCUGGUACUGACACACUUAGCUCACACUUCCACCAUCUCCCUCCACUCAGACAUGCCCCCCAGGCCCCCCUGCCCUCCAUCUCAGCUCCAAGAUGAGCACGUCAGGGCCCUCCUCCAGAGCUGCCCUGGAGACUGACUAGCCCACCCUUGGAGUCUCAUGGUGCCCUUUAAAUAACGAUGCUCACAGGAGCACUUCUAUUCUGGUUCCCUGGCAUUUGAGCUUGCUUGGUUAUAUCCAGAUGGUUUAUCCACCAGGGGUCAGCACUGGAAACAGGAACCACGCAGGUAUUCCAGGUAUUAUAAGCAGAAGGGGUUUAACAGUGGGAACUUGCGUGCUUACAGUGUUGAUGGAGGGGCUGAAGGGCAGGUUCUAGACAGGGCCUUUUGAGUGACUCCUAGAUCAUACAGCUGCCAGUCCCACAGCUAUUUCUGGACUCUCCAGGGGGGUGAAGGACCUCGACCCUAAGGUGAGGUCCAGGGAUUAGAGUUUGGACAAGAAGCUGCCUCCACCGCCCUGCUUUUUGGAUACCCAGGAAGCUGCAGCAUGAUGCCUCGGUUUAGAGCAACGAGGAGCAGUGACAGCCAGGAGCUGCGUCCCCUCCCUCCACGUCUCCCUCACUCUUGCUUCACAGAUCCUGACUUAGAUGCACGGCUCCCAGUAGGAGUUUCCCUGGAUCUGAGCUCCUGAUAGGAAGGUGAAGGAGAGGCUUAGGGGGGACUAACCACACAUCUGCCUCAGACAGGUUGGAUUUUGACAGGGGAAGUGGGUGGGGCAUUCUGCACUCACACCACAGAAUUCAGCAUUCUGAAUUUUAGUCCGAGGCCUGUGUGACUGGCCUGGUGGGCUCCAGCCAGACUGGAUGUUCGUGUCCCCCCGCCCCCAGCCUCAGGGAACUCGGGCCCAGAGGCCAGACUCGCCCACCCCCACCCCCCAGGUUCUUCCCAGACUGCGCAGCAGUGCUCCCUGCAGGUGGCGGCCCCUCCGUGGAGUAAGUUCCUCCCUUCCAGUGGACAUGGUUCCACUGCGCCAGCAAGGGGACUUCCCUCACAUCUCAGCUGUUCUAAGCAUAUCAGGCAUUGCUGCCCGCCUGAGUGCUCCCAAAGCUUUAUACUUUUAUUUUUACCUAGUUUUCCCUGAUUCCAGAGUGACAAGCUUG
ensembl:lncRNA